rnacentral:rRNA from 1 species
CCUACGGGUGGCAGCAGUGGGGAAUAUUGCACAAUGGGGGAAACCCUGAUGCAGCGACGCCGCGUGAGUGAAGAAGUAAUUCGUUAUGUAAAGCUCUAUCAGCAGGGAAGAAAAUGACGGUACCUGAGUAAGAAGCCCCGGCUAACUACGUGCCAGCAGCCGCGGUAAUACGUAGGGGGCAAGCGUUAUCCGGAUUUACUGGGUGUAAGGGGAGCGUAGACGGCAGUGCAAGGCUGGAGUGAAAGGCGGGGGCUCAACCCCCGGACUGCUCUGGAAACUGUACGGCUGGAGGGCAGGAGCGGUAAGUGGAAUUCCUAGUGUAGCGGUGAAAUGCGUAGAUAUUAGGAGGAACACCAGUUGCGAAGGCGGCUCUCUGGACUGUAACUGACACUGAGGCACGAAAGCGUGGGUAUCAAACAGGAUUAGAUACCCGAGUAGUC